CUUGACACAGGGUCAUUUUGACAUGACCUAAAUAUCAAGCCAGUAAGUUGUCAGUGUGUAUUGUGAUGCCUUAGCAUGCUGCAGGGAGAUGGGGAGGGGGUGACGGGACAUGUGCAGUAGCAUCAAGGAUGGAGGAGGCUCAGGACUAAGACACAGAAUGAGGAGAAGGUCAGAAAUAGUAAAGGGUCAGGGAUACCAUGGUUGCACUCAGUACUGUCACUAUGCUGAGCACUGGGGAAGUAACUACCCAAGACCUAGUCCUGCUCUCGAGGAGGUCAGUCUGUUAGGACAGAUCAGAGAGUGGAAUAGGCUCCGUGGAUGCAGAGGAACCAUGGACCGUGGAGGAGCUCUUCUGGGAGUGGUGUGUCUCUUUGGUGGUUGCAUCUCCUGCCAUUGAGGUCCCUGCUUGACUUUGUUCCUCCAGCAUAGGAGUGGGAACAGCUUCUUAUUGCUGUCUGUCUGUGGGAUAGCCUGGCAUCCUCUGUUGGGCUCUCAGCUCUUCUUUCCCCUGCAUGACCAGUUCCCCUGCAGUAAAUUCCCUCUGUAAGACAUAUGGUGGUUUCAAUUCUCCUGGUAGGCCCUUAACCAAUGCCAAGUCCGAGCUCAGAUUUGAAGGAGAGGGUGGAAGAGGAUUGUUGUGCCAAGGACUAAUGGCGAGCCAGGCAGGCAGACCCUGCCUCUUUGGAACUCUCAGUCAGAUGGAAAAGACAGACAUCAAUUAAUUCACUGCCCAAAUAACUAUAUGAUUACCAACAAUGGUCAGUGUGUGAAGGGGAAGUAGGAUAGCUUUAGAACAACUCAGUGAUGAGACAUCCAACAUAAAGGGUCAUUAGGACUCCCUGAAGAGUGAUGUUUGAGCUGAGCACUGAGACCUGAGCUAGGAGGUAACCCACCUGAGGCAGCUCAAAGACCAAUGAGUCAUAUGCAGAAGUUGUGAUGUAGGAGGGAGCUCUCAAGGGUCUGAAAGAAGGUCAGUGCGACUAGAGCAUCAAUAGUAAAGAGCUUUAUUUGGGAGGAGCAGGAAAGAUAGGCAGAAGGCAGCUUGUAAAGGGCCUUGUGGGUUUGGGUUUGGGAAAAACAGUCAAGUUAGAGUGGUAUGGUUUCCUUGGAACAGAAGGAAAUAUUGUCUAGGGCUAGAAGCCACCUAAGGAAGGCCUUAGCUGGGCCGCAGGAGAUCAGGGACAGAUGCUACUCCACCCCCAACCCCGCUGUGGGAUUUGAGCAACCAGUUUGCUUCCCAAGAAAUGAGGUAGCACAUAAUGCACAGAGGCCAUGUGAAAGAACUGCAGGAUCCAGACACCAGGAAGAAGUUUCUAGAAGUUUAUAACCAUAGAGGGGCCUGCCAUCCUCAAAGAAGCCCUUGAAGUCAAUGAUGGGUAUCCAGAGUGAAGGAUGGA
rnacentral:lncRNA from 1 species